GACAGAGGGUGCAAACGUUGUUCGGAAUUACUGGGCGUAAAGCGCGUGUAGGCGGCUUUGCAAGUCGGGUGUGAAAUCCCACGGCUCAACCGUGGAAGUGCAUUCGAAACUGCGAGGCUAGAGUCCUGGAGAGGAAGGUGGAAUGCUUGGUGUAGAGGUGAAAUUCGUAGAUAUCAAGCGGAACACCGGUGGCGAAGGCGGCCUUCUGGACAGUGACUGACGCUGAGACGCGAAAGCGUGGGGAGCAAACAGG
rnacentral:rRNA from 1 species